GGAAGUGCAGGGAGAGUACAUCCUGCAGUUUGGAAAGUAUAAAGGGAAAUCUUUCCAGUGGCUUCUGGAGAAUGAAUGUCGGGUACACCAUGUACCUGAUCAAAGAUCUCCAGAAGCAAGAGGCUGCAGGGACCUCUGUGGAAGAAGGACAUGGCAAGGAGAGCUUGCAUUCAUUUGUACAGUAUGCCCUCAGCUUUACAGAGAUAAAAACUCUUCUGAACUACGAGGCCAGCAGAGUGAGUGUUGGAGCAGAAGCCUCUGAGGAUGAUCAGCUGGUUGGCUUUGGCUCAUGAGCCAAGAGCACCUGGAAGGAGAUUUGGGGUGGCAGAGGUGACGGCUAUGGAGACUUUAUCACGAGGAAGAGCUGCAGUCAAGGAACACGGAUGCAUAAGCUGCAGCAGUACGUGCGGAAGAAGCAGCAGUCUGUGUCUGCUUCCACAAAUGCUCCAACUAAACCCCUGGGGAUGGAUGAGGAUAAAGACCUGGAGGACGCAAUGCUGAGCAUCUCACCUGUAAAACUACACAUGCAGAGCUUCACUGUGCCAGCAGCAGCAGAAGGGUCCACACCCAGAGGAUCUUCAGGAGCAAACACAGGUUUUCAAAUGAAAGGUUUCAGAACUGGAGUAAAAUAGUUUUACAUGAAUUGCUCUCCAAAGCUGAGCCUGAACUUUUAUAUAUUGUCUUGUUCUUGUUUUUGUGUGUUCUGGCCACGUUCCGGCGAUGUUCCUCUAAUAGUAUAGUUGUAUGCUGGCUGUAUGGUGGAAGAAAACAGUAAAUAAGGGAGAAACAGUUGAUUUUGUACAUAAGACAGUUUUGUUCUAGUUGUGAAUGUUUCUUUUGUUUAUAUAAAUAAAAACAGAUUGUAAAUAUAAAAGUGUAAAUAAAGAGUUUUCUGCAAAAAUAUCAACACAGUUUUCUUCUUAGAGUUCACCUAUAUGUUUAUAUAUCUGUGUGCUCACCAUCAGGUAAUCAGUUUUAAUAAGUUGUGAGUGCUGGCCUUAAAGCUUACAUACUAUUUCUAAAUCACUUCAUGUAAUGAUAACGAGCCAUCCUUUCUCUAGAGGGGUCUCAUAGCUUUUAUCUUCAUAAUCUUUCUGUUUUCAUUUGUAAUAUUAGAAACAUGACUGCUGUCUUUUAUCUGUGUGACUGUACAGCCUGUUUCAGACAUGACCACCACACAAUGUCUAAAGUUAUCUUUAAUACAUGCAGCACACAGCUGGAGCUGCAGACAGUUUCUCACUUCUGGUGAUAAUAUUUAGGUAUUGCUUGCUAGCUUGAAACUUAUCUACAAAAACAAUUCAAUAAGAAGAGAUCAUGUGGAAAAACUGAACAUGAUUUAUUGAGAUACAGAAAUAAAUCUAACUGUUUGGCAGUUAAGACUCCAAUGACCCAUCAUAGCAAAAAGAAUCCCAGCAGUGACAGGAUUUUGCACAACAACCACCCCAGAGUCAACAUGCUGAUAGUAAUGAAGAUGAAGAUGGAGGCUGGGACAGGGUUCUGAGUGACCACAGUGAGGAGGAGAAAGGAGAGGAGGCGGGCUGCAUGGCUGCGGAUCUGAAACGCAGAAUGGCAGAAGCAGAAGAGCAACAGAUUUAAAGCAUGCAGAGUGGAGGCUGGCAAGAGCAUGACUGGAAUAAAGUAAUGAUGUCAGUACUGAGUUUGUGCUGGAAAAUGAAUAGAUAUAAACUGGCAGCCACCAGGAAGCAGACAGAUGACUUAUUACAGAUCUUCCUUAUUGAAAUUAUGCAUAAGCUUAAUUUUCUAUGCCAACAGAAUCUAUCUGUAUUAUAGU